GUACCAUAGCAUAAUAUAUUGGAACCAGAAGCCUUUCUUCUCCAUAUCUCCAUUUUUGCGUAAUACUCUCAACUCAACAACCAUGAACAUAACCACACAAAUUAUUACUCAAAAAUGAAAAGGGGAAAAACUGACCCCAACAUCAACGGUGCGAUGAUUGAAAGAUGGUGUAGAUCGGAAGUUACGAUGCUCGUGGUGUGGUCGGCUUGGCCUCGCCGGCGUGGCUGAUGUGUGGGUGGUCGGAGAACGGCGUCGCAGUUGAAUGGUACACUUGUGCGUGAAUCCAGCGGGAUUCUUUCGGCGGGAUGGGAUCGGUGUUGGUGGUUGAGUUCUGAGUAAAGCUUCAAAGUUUCAGAUGUGAAACUUCAAAGUCUUUAACGAAAUAUAUAAAGAGUAUGCACAAAUCAGCGCUCAGAAGCUUUGUCUCAGAAGGUUCAGCAUGCAACAUUAGAACAUGGUCUGGCAAGACAUCAGAAGAUGGUCAAAGCAGAAUCAGAACAUGGGUCUAUGGAAGCAUCAGAAGAACUUGAGAUCAGAAGCAGAAGCACUGAAGUUCUCAUGGUAUCACGCUCAGAAGCACUUCAAGGUCAGAAGACAAGAAGAUGCUAUGCACCAAGCUAUUUGACUCUGAUGAUAUUCAAACGUUGUAUACACAAACAUCAGAUCAGAAGAAAGUACAGGUGGCAGGCUACGCUGACUGACAAAAGGAACGUUGGAAGCUAUUAAAGGCAACGUCAGUAGACACAGCGUGAACAAGGCUCGAGGUAGUUGACAAAAGCGUGAAACAUUAAAUGCAAUGCUGUACGGAACACGCAAAGCAUUAAAUGCUCCCAACGGUCAUCUUCUCAAGUGCCUAUAAAUAUGAAGUUCUGAUGAGAAGCAAUGUAACGAAUUCUGAACGAACCUAUUCUGAAAAACUUACUGAAACGUUGUUCAACUCAAAGCUCAGAAACUUCAUCUUCAUCAAAGCUCACUACAUUGCUGUUGUAAUAUAUUAGUGAGAUUAAGCUUAAACUUUAAGAGAAA